ACAGCCUACUAUUCAGCAGCCUACUGUUCAUGUGGAGCAUGUUAUUUCAGGUGAUACUUCUGAUAAGGAAAAUAUUGAUGCACAUGAUGAACUCGCCGUUGAUGAUGAAUAUGUCACUCCAAAUCAUCCUAUUGUUCCAGCCAGUUGGAACCUCGCACGUGACAGAGUUAAGCGGGGUACUAAUGCACCUAAAAGGUUAAUUGAAGAAUGCAAUAUUGUUUCUUUUGAUUUANNNNNNNNNNGGCGGGGUACUAAAGCACCUAAAAGGUUAAUUGAAGAAUGCAAUAUUGUUUCUUUUGAUUUAUCUGUUGAAGAAGAAAUUGAAGGUAAUGUUGAUCCUUUUUCAUAUUCUGAUACUAUUAUUUCUAAUGAUAGUAAUAAGUGGAUGACCGCUAUGCACGAUGGGAUGGAAUCACUUGAAAAGAAUGACACUUGGGAUUUAGUAAGAUUACCAAGAGAGAAGAAAC
rnacentral:lncRNA from 1 species